CAAAGCAGGAACACAUUGGCAGAACCUGAGCAUCGUGUGAGUCACACUGAACUAAAAGGGUCCCGUGCUCCAGUGGCCAGAAGGAUUCAGAGGACUGCUCCCAGAAAAGCGGCCUUUUCUGGUGAAAAGUCUCCAGAAAGUCAUUGAAAGUCCUGGAAGUUAUUCUGAGGACUCUCGGCCAAAGGGAAAACAGUAUUCAGGAAAAUCUACCAAAUCCUGGCAGCAGCAGUGAGUUUGGGGCACUUGCCUUGGCCCCGUCCCCCUCUGCCCACAUGAUGGGUGCAGCUAAGGACAGGCUCCUCCUCCAGGACCAGCCUAGGGCUACCACACAGGCUUCCAAAGGCUCUCCAUCCCAGCUCUGUGUGGUGCAUUGCAGACUGCUUCGCCGGGGUCCUUCCUCACCAAAUCCCCUCCAGAGCGUCAGGAAGAGGAGUCUACUCUCGGUGUCUUUGCCCAGGCUUACGGGUGAUUACAGUUAAUAGAUUGCAUGAAUCUCAGGAGAGACUUUGAACUUCAUGAGACAGAUCACUUCUUGUUGUCUGCAAGAUGUAGGACUCUCAGUUACUGCUCCAGUACUGUCUGCCAUGUCCUAUAACGGACCGGAACCUGAAGCUGGCAGAAAAUGCAAGUAUCGUAAGUGGCCUCUGUAAUUCAUAUCGUUAUAAAAUACGUGUCAACAAUAGCACCAGUGCUGGAGAGCAGGACCCGACGAUACAAUAUUUUUCUAAGGUUUGUGGAGUUGAAGUGUGAAGCAGAGGUGGGAAGUGGGAGCAGGCGAUUGCACAACAGAAACUGUGGACUCUGAGGCUCUGACUCGAGGGUCAUGUAAGCAGCCUU